AGAAUAACAAUAGAGGGGCUGUAUACAGGGUAUUACGGUACAGAGUCAAUGUGGAGGCUAUAUAUAGGGGGUGUCGGUACAGAGUCAAUGUGGAGGCUAUAUAUAGGGGGUGUCGGUACAGAGUCAAUGUGGAGGCUAUAUAUAGGGGGUGUCGGUACAGAGUCAAUGUGGAGGCUAUAUAUAGGGGUUGCCGGUACAGAGUCAGUGUGGAGGCUAUAUAUAGGGGGUGUCGGUACAGAGUCAAUGUGGAGGCUAUAUACAGGGGGUACCGGUACAGAGUCAAUGUGGAGGCUAUAUACAGGGGGUACUGGUACAGAGUCAAUGUGGAGGCUAUAUACAGGGGUGCCGGUACAGAGUCAGUGUGGAGGCUAUAUAUAGGGGGUGUCGGUACAGAGUCAAUGUGGAGGCUAUAUACAGGGGGUACCGGUACAGAGUCAAUGUGGAGGCUAUAUACAGGGGGGGUACUGGUACAGAGUCAGUGUGGAGGCUAUAUACAGGGGGUGCCGGUACAGAGUCAAUGUGGAGGCUAUAUAUAGGGGGUGUCGGUACAGAGUCAAUGUGGAGGCUAUAUACAAGGGGGUACUGGUACAGAGUCAAUGUGGAGGCUAUAUACAGGGGGUACCGGUACAGAGUCAAUGUGGAGGCUAUAUACAGGGGGUGUCGGUACAGAGUCAAUGUGGAGGCUAUAUACAGGGUGUACCGGUACAGAGUCAAUGUGGAGGCUAUAUACAGGGGGUACCGGUACAGAGUCAGUGUGGAGGCU
ensembl:lncRNA